CCUACGGGUGGCAGCAGUGAGGAAUAUUGGUCAAUGGGCACGAGCCUGAACCAGCCAAGUAGCGUGAAGGAUGACUGCCCUGCGGAUUGUAAACUUCUUUUGUAAAGGAAUAAAGUGAGGCACGUGUGCCUGUUUGUAUGUACCUUAUGAAUAAGGAUCGGCUAACUCCGUGCCAGCAGCCGCGGUAAUACGGAGGAUCCGAGCGUUAUCCGGAUUUAUUGGGUUUAAAGGGAGCGUAGAUGGGUUGUUAAGUCAGUUGUGAAAGUUUGCGGCUCAACCGUAAAAGUGCAAUUGAUACUGGCAGCCUUGAGUACAGUAGAGGUAGGCGGAAUUCGUGGUGUAGCGGUGAAAUGCUUAGAUAUCACGAAGAACUCCGAGUGCGAAGGCAGCCUACUAGACUGCCACUGACGUUGAGGCACGAAAGUGUGGGUAUCAAACAGGAUUAGAUACCCUGGUAGUC
rnacentral:rRNA from 1 species